CUGUCUAAUUAAAAAAAAGCAUUGUGAUGGUUGGAGAGCAAUGAUGACACAGUGUGAUUUCUACCCAGUGCUCUGAAUGUUGAAAUGAAGAGAUUCACCCAAGCACAGAUAGACGGCGGGAGUUACUAUGACUCUCUUAUGCACCUCCAUUUCCAUUUCGGUGAACAGGAGGGAUUAGCGCUAUUUCUAUAACAUAAAUAGCCAUUGUUGUGUUGACUCUACACCCAUCAGGGCAUUAA
rnacentral:rRNA from 1 species